UAAGUGCUCCAAUGUUUUAGUGG
rnacentral:miRNA from 1 species